rnacentral:pre_miRNA from 1 species
AGUGGAGUGAGACCUCGAGUUCGGGCAAAUCUGAUAGCCGAACGGGAGUUUCCUCCAUUGGG